UUCUAUCUCGACCUCCCAAAUCAUGAAAGGAUCAAUUCAUGACUCCGCUAUUACGGGUUUAGAGGCUCAGCUUAUGGCAUCGAAGCGAGGACUAAUCGAAGCCCCAAGUGGGAACAAAGGAUCGAAGAGACAACUGAAAGAGAUUGGGUAAUGUGUGCAAAGUGCCAAAAAUUGGCUUCAGCAAGUCAUGGUAUAAUCUCUAUUCUCUAAUCACAAUCUCUAGCUUUUCUUAAUUAGUCCUUAUGUAAUUUGAUUAUGUUUUAAUUCGCCUCCUAAUUAAUUUCAUGGUUGAUGGAUAGUCGUGGGUAUUCCUUUUG